CAAUGACAGCCUGUUACAGCGUGUCAUUUGACGAACUAGUAAAAAGAUAUCAACCCAGCUUCCAUCCAGCUUGGAGGGACAUUUCAAGAUGCAAGCAAGAACGAGCAAACAACUCUCUAAAUUUAGAGAGAGGAGUUCGACCUGGGCGGAGGCCACUAGGAGAAAUCGCAACGUCUCCCAUGUGGUCAAUGAUGCACAUAUCAUGAUGCUUUGGGGGGUGAGAGGCCAUACGUUGACCCUGAUAUCAGUGGCACACAUUGCCGGAUGGCAAUUGGCCGUCUGAUAAAAGAAC